rnacentral:lncRNA from 1 species
CAACAGUGCUUAAAUUGCCAGCUCUUGUGAAAUUCUAUUGGGCGAAUAGGAGAUAGAGCAAUGAGCUAGUGCUGCUGCUGCCACAGUAAGCUCCCUCUCUCAGCUCCGUUGCUCUGCAGUCUGCAUACCUACGCUCUUCACUUCUUUUUAUUAUUAUUUUCAGCUUUCAACUUCACUGGCGAUUUGGUGAACCCGUUGGGGACACCCUUAUCUAUCCUAGGGGUGUAAAGAUGAAAAUCCAUUAAUCUAGUUGGGAAGUUUCAGUUAUCCAUCAACGUGUGUAAAGGUGAAAAUCCAUUAAUCUAGCUAGCUGGGAAGUUUCAGUUACCCAUCCCAAACUGGUUUGAAAAGCAUACUCGCUCUGAUACGGUGGUGGCUGGUUCGUCUCACCUAACAAUCACAUGAAUUGCACACAGGACAUGAAAUAGAAGGCAAUAGCAGAUGCGACUCCCCAGCUAGAUUAAUGGUGCAAAAGGCUAACAUAUCGUGUGCAACUCCUUCGGCAAUGUGUAACCUUCGCCUUUUUUUUCUUUCUUGUCCCUCCCUUAUUAGUUUAAGUUUCUCAGGUGGGGAAUGUUCGUCCCUCUCGUUGCUCUGUCAAAAAAAUCACAAGGCAUCGCAUGUAACACCCACCGGUGCUUGAGGAACUGACUCGGAGACACGUGUUGUUUUGCUAGUUGUUACCUUUAUAACUCGGUGGCGUGGCGGCGGGGCCAUGUAGCUCGCGGGAGGCUCCAUCC